UACGAAGGGGGCUAGCGUUGUUCGGAAUUACUGGGCGUAAAGCGCACGUAGGCGGACUUUUAAGUCAGGUGUGAAAUCCCGGGGCUCAACCUCGGAACUGCAUUUGAAACUGGAAGUCUGGAGAUCAGGAGAGGUUAGCGGAAUACCGAGUGUAGAGGUGAAAUUCGUAGAUAUUCGGUGGAACACCAGUGGCGAAGGCGGCUAACUGGACUGAUACUGACGCUGAGGUGCGAAAGUGUGGGGAGCAAACAGG
rnacentral:rRNA from 1 species